UCGCAUGGCUCCCGGGCCGCCAUGGCCCGCGGGCAUUAUUCUAGAGUUUGACAGAGAGCUUGCUCUCGGGUGACGAGUGGCGGACGGGUGAGUAAUGUCUGGGAAACUGCCUGAUGGAGGGGGAUAACUACUGGAAACGGUAGCUAAUACCGCAUAACGUCGCAAGACCAAAGAGGGGGACCUUCGGGCCUCUUGCCAUCAGAUGUGCCCAGAUGGGAUUAGCUAGUAGGUGGGGUAACGGCUCACCUAGGCGACGAUCCCUAGCUGGCCUGAGAGGAUGACCAGCCACACUGGAACUGAGACACGGUCCAGACUCCUACGGGAGGCAGCAGUGGGGAAUAUUGCACAAUGGGCGCAAGCCUGAUGCAGCCAUUCCGCGUGUAUGAAGAAGGCCUUCGGGUUGUAAAGUACUUUCAGCGGGGAGGAAGGUGUUGUGGUUAAUAACCACAGCAAUUGACGUUACCCGCAGAAGAAGCACCGGCUAACUCCGUGCCAGCAGCCGCGGUAAUACGGAGGGUGCAAGCGUUAAUCGGAAUUACUGGGCGUAAAGCGCACGCAGGCGGUCUGUCAAGUCGGAUGUGAAAUCCCCGGGCUCAACCUGGGAACUGCAUUCGAAACUGGCAGGCUGGAGUCUUGUAGAGGGGGGUAGAAUUCCAGGUGUAGCGGUGAAAUGCGUAAAGAUUUGGAGGAAUACCGGUGGCGAAGGCGGCCCCCUGGACAAAGACUGACGCUCAGGUGCGAAAGCGUGGGGAGCAAACAGGUUUAAAUACCCUGGUAGUCCACGCCGUAAACGAUGUCGAUUUGGAGGUUGUGCCCUUGAGGCGUGGCUUCCGGAGCUAACGCGUUAAAUCGACCGCCUGGGGAAUACCGCCCGCAAGGUUAAA
rnacentral:rRNA from 1 species